rnacentral:rRNA from 1 species
UACGGAGGGUGCAAGCGUUGUCCGGAUUUAUUGGGUUUAAAGGGUGCGUAGGUGGCUUUGUAAGUCCGUGGUGAAAGCCCGCUGCUCAACAGCGGAACUGCCCUGGAUACUGGAUGGCUUGAGUACAGACGAGGUUGGCGGAAUGGACUGAGUAGCGGUGAAAUGCAUAGAUACAGUCCAGAACCCCGAUUGCGAAGGCAGCUGACUAGGCUGUUACUGACGCUGAGGCACGAAAGCGUGGGGAGCGAACAGG